GACGAACGCUGGCGGCGUGCUUAACACAUGCAAGUCGAACGGAAAGGCCCUGCUUUUGUGGGGUGCUCGAGUGGCGAACGGGUGAGUAACACGUGAGUAACCUGCCCUUGACUUUGGGAUAACUUCAGGAAACUGGGGCUAAUACCGGAUAGGAGCUCCUGCUGCAUGGUGGGGGUUGGAAAGUUUCGGCGGUUGGGGAUGGACUCGCGGCUUAUCAGCUUGUUGGUGGGGUAGUGGCUUACCAAGGCUUUGACGGGUAGCCGGCCUGAGAGGGUUACCGGCCACAUUGGGACUGAGAUACGGCCCAGACUCCUACGGGAGGCAGCAGUGGGGAAUAUUGCACAAUGGGCGGAAGCCUGAUGCAGCAACGCCGCGUGCGGGAUGACGGCCUUCGGGUUGUAAACCGCUUUCGCCUGUGGCGAAGCGUGAGUGACGGUAAUGGGUAAAGAAGCACCGGCUAACUACGUG
rnacentral:rRNA from 1 species